rnacentral:rRNA from 1 species
UUGAUGGAGAGUUUGAUUCUGGCUCAGAACGAACGCUGGCGGCGUGGAUAAGACAUGCAAGUCGAACGGGAGAAUUGCUAGCUUGCUAAUAAUUCUCUAGUGGCGCACGGGUGAGUAACACGUGAGUAACCUGCCCCCGAGAGCGGGAUAGCCCUGGGAAACUGGGAUUAAUACCGCAUAGUAUCGAAAGAUUAAAGCAGCAAUGCGCUUGGGGAUGGGCUCGCGGCCUAUUAGUUAGUUGGUGAGGUAACGGCUCACCAAGGCGAUGACGGGUAGCCGGUCUGAGAGGAUGUCCGGCCACACUGGAACUGAGACACGGUCCAGACACCUACGGGUGGCAGCAGUCGAGAAUCAUUCACAAUGGGGGAAACCCUGAUGGUGCGACGCCGCGUGGGGGAAUGAAGGUCUUCGGAUUGUAAACCCCUGUCAUGUGGGAGCAAAUUAAAAAGAUAGUACCACAAGAGGAAGAGACGGCUAACUCUGUGCCAGCAGCCGCGGUAAUACAGAGGUCUCAAGCGUUGUUCGGAAUCACUGGGCGUAAAGCGUGCGUAGGCUGUUUCGUAAGUCGUGUGUGAAAGGCGCGGGCUCAACCCGCGGACGGCACAUGAUACUGCGAGACUAGAGUAAUGGAGGGGGAACCGGAAUUCUCGGUGUAGCAGUGAAAUGCGUAGAUAUCGAGAGGAACACUCGUGGCGAAGGCGGGUUCCUGGACAUUAACUGACGCUGAGGCACGAAGGCCAGGGGAGCGAAAGGGAUUAGAUACCCCUGUAGUCCUGGCAGUAAACGGUGCACGCUUGGUGUGCGGGGAAUCGACCCCCUGCGUGCCGGAGCUAACGCGUUAAGCGUGCCGCCUGGGGAGUACGGUCGCAAGAUUAAAACUCAAAGAAAUUGACGGGGACCCGCACAAGCGGUGGAGUAUGUGGCUUAAUUCGAUGCAACGCGAAGAACCUUACCUGGGCUUGACAUGUAAUGAACAACAUGUGAAAGCAUGCGACUCUUCGGAGGCGUUACACAGGUGCUGCAUGGCCGUCGUCAGCUCGUGUCGUGAGAUGUUUGGUUAAGUCCAGCAACGAGCGCAACCCCUGUUGCCAGUUACCAGCACGUGAAGGUGGGGACUCUGGCGAGACUGCCCAGAUCAACUGGGAGGAAGGUGGGGACGACGUCAGGUCAGUAUGGCCCUUAUGCCCAGGGCUGCACACGUACUACAAUGCCCAGUACAGAGGGGGCCGAAGCCGCGAGGCGGAGGGAAUCCUAAAAACUGGGCCCAGUUCGGACUGUAGGCUGCAACCCGCCUACACGAAGCCGGAAUCGCUAGUAAUGGCGCAUCAGCUACGGCGCCGUGAAUACGUUCCCGGGUCUUGUACACACCGCCCGUCACAUCAUGGAAGCCGGUCGCACCCGAAGUAUCUGAAGCCAACCGCAAGGAGGCAGGGUCCUAAGGUGAGACUGGUAACUGGGAUGAAGUCGUAACAAGGUAGCCGUAGGGGAACCUGCGGCUGGAUCACCUCCUUU